GACGAACGCUGGCGGCGUGCCUAAUACAUGCAAGUAGAACGCAGCUGCGAACGGGUGAGUAACGUGUAAGUAACUGCCUCAUAGCGGGGGAUAACCAUCGGAAACGAUAGCUAAUACCCCAUACUGUUACACGUACCUGCGUCGUUUUUGCUAGUUGGUGGGGGAAAGGCUCACCAAGGCCACUAUACAUAGCCGACCUGAGAGGGUGGUCGGCCACAAUGGGACUGAGACACAGCCCAGACUCCUACGGGAGGCAGCAGUAGGGAAUCUUCGGCAAUGGACGGAAGUCUGACCGGGCAACGGCGCGUGAGUGAAGAAGGUGUUCGGGUCGUAAAGCUCUGUUGUUAGGGGAGCGGUAACUAACCAGAAAGGGACGGCUAACUACGUGCCAGCAGCCGCGGUAAUUC
rnacentral:rRNA from 1 species